rnacentral:rRNA from 1 species
AUUGAGCGCUGGCGGCAGGCCUAACACAUGCAAGUCGAGCGGAUGAGAGGAGCUUGCUUCUCGAUUCAGCGGCGGACGGGUGAGUAAUGCCUAGGAAUCUGCCUGGUAGUGGGGGACAACGUUUCGAAAGGAACGCUAAUACCGCAUACGUCCUACGGGAGAAACCAGGGGACCUUCGGGCCUUGCGCUAUCAGAUGAGCCUAGGUCGGAUUAGCUAGUUGGUGAGGUAAUGGCUCACCAAGGCGACGAUCCGUAACUGGUCUGAGAGGAUGAUCAGUCACACUGGAACUGAGACACGGUCCAGACUCCUACGGGAGGCAGCAGUGGGGAAUAUUGGACAAUGGGCGAAAGCCUGAUCCAGCCAUGCCGCGUGUGUGAAGAAGGUCUUCGGAUUGUAAAGCACUUUAAGUUGGGAGGAAGGGUUGUAGAUUAAUACUCUGCAAUUUUGACGUUACCGACAGAAUAAGCACCGGCUAACUCUGUGCCAGCCGCCGCGGUAAGAC